rnacentral:rRNA from 1 species
GACGAACGCUGGCGGCGUGCCUAAUACAUGCAAGUAGAACGCUGAAGGAGGAGCUUGCUUCUCUGGAUGAGUUGCGAACGGGUGAGUAACGCGUAGGUAACCUGCCUGGUAGCGGGGGAUAACUAUUGGAAACGAUAGCUAAUACCGCAUAAGAGUAGAUGUUGCAUGACAUUUGCUUAAAAGGUACAAUUGCAUCACUACCAGAUGGACCUGCGUUGUAUUAGCUAGUUGGUGAGGUAACGGCUCACCAAGGCGACGAUACAUAGCCGACCUGAGAGGGUGAUCGGCCACACUGGGACUGAGACACGGCCCAGACUCCUACGGGAGGCAGCAGUAGGGAAUCUUCGGCAAUGGACGGAAGUCUGACCGAGCAACGCCGCGUGAGUGAAGAAGGUUUUCGGAUCGUAAAGCUCUGUUGUAAGAGAAGAACGAGUGUGAGAGUGGAAAGUUCACACUGUGACGGUAUCUUACCAGAAAGGGACGGCUAACUACGU